GACGAACGCUGGCGGCGUGCUUAACACAUGCAAGUCGAACGGAAAGGCCCUGCUUUUGUGGGGUGCUCGAGUGGCGAACGGGUGAGUAACACGUGAGUAACCUGCCCUUGACUUUGUGAUAACUUCAGGAAACUGGGGCUAAUACCGGAUAGGAGCUCCUGCUGCAUGGUGGGGGUUGGAAAGUUUCGGCGGUUGUGGAUGGACGCGCGGCUUAUCAGCUUGUUGGUGGGGUAGUGGCUUACCAAGGCUUUGACGGCUAGCCGGCCUGAGAGGGUGACCGGCGACAUUGGGACUGCGAUACGGCCCAGACUCGUACGGGAGGCAGCAGUGGGGAAUAUUGCACAAUGGGCGGAAGCCUGAUGCAGCAACGCCGCGUGCGGGAUGACGGCCUUCGGGUUGUAAACCGCUUUCGCCUGUGACGAAGCGUGAGUGACGGUAAUGGGUAAAGAAGCACCGGCUAACUACGUG
rnacentral:rRNA from 1 species